CUGAAAAUACAAAUCAUUAUGGAUAAAGCCAUGUAUGCUUAUAUGGGCUCCACGGUGGCAGUUGCAGUUGAGAAAGUUUUCCAAAUCUUUGGUCUUAUCAACACUAUGUUUUCCCAGCUUAAUAUGACAGUUAUGCUGUCUUCCUUGGAGAUCUGGUCAGAUCAAAAUAAGAUUUCAACAAGUGGUCAUGCUGAUGAAAUACUACAGCGAUUUUUGCCUUGGAAACAAAAAUUUUUGUUUCAAAGGUCUCAUGAUAUGACAUACUUAUUAAUUUAUAGGAACCAUUCUACUUAUGUGGGAGCAACAUAUCACGGAAUGGCAUGCGAUCCAAAGUUUGCAACAGGAAUUGCUCUGUAUCCAAAGAAAAUCACUGCAGAGGCCUUUUCAGUUGUUAUGGCACAGUUGCUUGGAAUUAAUCUGGGAUUGACAUAUGAUGAUAUCUACAAUUGUUACUGUCCAGGAACUACAUGCAUAAUGAAUCCUGAUGCGAUAUGAUCCCAUGGUAUGAAGUUUUUUAGCAGUUGCAGCAUGGAUGGAUUUAAACGGAUAGUUCUGCAGCCUGAACUUAAAUGUUUUCAGGAUAAAACAGUUUCAAAAAUGACUUACCGAAAAUCUUCAACUUGUGGCAAUGGAAUUUUGGAACCUACAGAGCAGUGUGAUUGUGGCU
rnacentral:lncRNA from 1 species